rnacentral:rRNA from 1 species
UACGUAGGUGGCAAGCGUUGUCCGGAUUUAUUGGGUUUAAAGGGUGCGUAGGCGGUCUUAUAAGUCAGUGGUGAAAUACGGCAGCUCAACUGUCGAGGUGCCAUUGAUACUGUAGGACUUGAGUACAGACGAGGUAGGCGGAAUUGACGGUGUAGCGGUGAAAUGCUUAGAUAUCAGGAGGAACACCAAUAGCGAAGGCAGCUCGCUGGGACGGUACUGACGCUAAGGCGCGAAAGCGUGGGGAGCGAACAGG